rnacentral:lncRNA from 10 species
GUCCUCCACCGGCGCGGGCGGGGCCGCGGACGAGCCGGCCGGGGCUGGGGAACAACUUUCCGCCGCCGCCGCAGCCGCCGCCGCGCCUCCGGCCGCCUUCGACAUGGAGAAGAGCUAACCUUGGGUAGCUGCUGUUCCUUCAGUCUGAGCCACACACUCAGCCACCCCAGCCAACCUGAAGAUCUGCAGCAUGAAGCAGAGCUAUGCUCACAGACUCACAGAUCUGUGUGUGAGAAAACAAGACUGUUGUUUAAGCUACCGACUUUUGGGGAGAUUUAUUGUGCAGCAUUACUAAUGCAAUAGUUAGCAGAUACAACUCCCCUGCCUAAAUCCCUUUGGGGGCAUCUCAGCACCUUUCUGUGGAGUGAAGCUACAUUUCUUAGCAGAGCAUGUAAGAUGGACACAGUCUGAUGCUUGCUUACUUUUUCAGCUCCAACUCCUACCAUACUUUGCCUGCCUCAUAUUUCAUACUUUUUCAGUUCUAAACUGCCUUGUAGCUCCCUGUCAGCAUUCAAUAUACCUCCGUACCACACUGAUGCUCUUUUCUCAUGCAUGAAAUGCCUUCCUUGCCUUAUCCUUCUGAAUAACUUCCAACCAGAUCCUUCAAAAGGCAUCAUCUUAUCCAGAGUGCUGGCAUCAGCCCACAUUUCCCUGGCAGAGGCAAAGGUGAGUGUCCCUCUCCACUCCCAUAACCUCCAGUGCAUACCCCUAGUGCAGUACCUAAAAUAGAAUGCUGAAUUACAGGAAAAUAUAAGCAGAGGCUCAAACUAAUCCAGUCCAAUCCCAACAAAAGGGUUUAGCUCCGGCCAGGAUUUAAUAUUAUCUCUUUUCUGCUUUCUCCAAACCAUACAAAUUUUUGUCAUGCUCUACAAAACUCCUUGGUGCCAUUAGGGAUGUUACUGAGGACAUUGCUCACGACAUCCCAUAAUACCUUAUAAAAACUGCACCUAAUCCCUGUGGUUCUUUGGGGGAACUACAUAAUUUUCAUCCUAUGGACACUGAAUUUUGCAAUUGGUUAUGUAUUCCUCUUUGUGCUGGCUUCUAGGAAGUUAGAUCUAAAUUUGUGGCCCACCUUCAAUAAUUUAGAGAAAACUUAAGGAAUGUAAUCUGUUGACUAACCUGACUUCCAUCAUUUUCUCACUUUCAAAUUUCUCCCUCACAGUUUCUUCUUUUUAACCUUAUGUGUAUGUAUCUUUGCAAGUUACUGCUGGCAUUUUUAGUAAGGCAGAAAAGAGAGGAAGGGAGGGAGGGAGGGGGAGAAGGGUCUCAUCUUCAAUUAUAGACCCUAUAAUGUUUUCUGUCUCUCAUUUACUUUGGUAUCUGCUUUGGCUUGAACAUGUGUCCCUCCGAUAUUCAUAUGUUGAAACUUAAACCUUAAGGUAAUGGCAUUAAGAGGGGGCCUUGGGAAGGUGAUUAGGCUGUGAGGGCUCUGCCCUCAUGGAUGGGAUUAGUGCCCUUAUAAAAGGACUUGAGAGAGCAAGUUUGUCCCUUUUUGCCCACCCUUCUCUUCUACCGGAUGGGGAAACAGCAUUUGUCCCUUUUUGCCCCUUUUGCCUUUCCACCAUGUGAGGACACAGUAAGAGGGGCCGUCUGUGAAGCAGAGAGUGAGCCUUCACCAGACACUGAAUCUACUGGACUCUUGAUCUUGGACUUCCCAGCCCCCAGAAAUAUGAGACAUACAUUUCUAAUAUUUAUAAAGUACCUAGUCUAAGGUAUUUUCUUAUAGCAGAAUAAAUGGACUAAGACAAUGUCUUUUUCCUCUUUUAGCUCCUAAGCUCCCGAAGACAAGGUCUAUUUCCUAACACAGAGUUAGUAUUCAAUAAAUACAGGAGGGAAGGAGGAAAGAAAGAAGGGGGAAGGGAGGAGAGAACAAGUUUUCCAAGGGCCUUCAUUCUGAUUUUUUAAAAUAUCUUUCUUGUUUGGGUUGGGUCACCACCCAAACACAUACACAAGAUCUCUUCCUUUUGAAAAUAUCAUUACUGUUUAGUAUAUUUGGAAGUCAGAAGAGUGAUACGUAGUUCGGAAAUUUUUUUAAUAUUUCAAAAUUGUUUAAGUGUUGGAUAAUAUGAUGCUUUAACAAGUUAGCCUCAAAUCUCUGCAAAAAAUGCACUUCAGGCAAUGAGCUUAUUUUAUGUUGAUGCCAGACAUAAAUAUCAUAUAUACAAACAAGGCUGAGGUUUAUCUCAUUUUUCUGUGUUGCAACAAAUAACACAGGCAGCCACUAAAACGCCCUGUCUUGCUCCAUCAAGAACCAAUUUCCCAGGCAAUACCUCAAAACUCUACAGAAGUACAUUCAAUUUUAGCUUUGUUACCUAAUUCUGAGUUGAGAUGCAGAGAACACCGUCAUUGUGUGGAACUAGUACUAUGGCAGAAAUGGCCAGGGAAGGGUUUAUCUAACCACCAGGAGUACGCAAAGAAGAGAGGUCCAGCCAGCCUGCCUCUCAGAUUGUUAAGAUGCCAGGUGUCUUUUGGCUCAUGGAAACAGCUGUUCUGCCCCCUCCCGAACCCUAGACUCACAGCUACACUCUAUGGGGAAAGGACAAAGGGAAGGCUGCUUCCUGAAGAGAUCUCCAUAUGGAAGAGCUGCAGAUCACAAACAACCCACACAGCCAUUGUAACGCCUGCUUGCCUGGUCACUUGUGUUUCUGAGAAGCCAUAACUCCAAGAAUAGCGAAGGGAAGAAAAUGCCAAAAAGCAGGGGCUGCCUAACAGGUCUGACUUGCAAGGCAAACUCCUGGCAGGCCUGGCCAGCUUCUGCUUGUCCCAGUGCAAUCCCACCCCCAUAGGAUCUGGAAUUUUUCAGUCCCUUUGCUAAGAUUCCUGAAAUAGACUUAAUGAAGAGCCUCAGAAGUGAAAAUUCCUCUUCACACAUUUGCUCAAGAAGAUUGCUUUUCUCCUAACACAGAAAUCAGCUGCCUUGAGGAUGUGCAAGUUUGAUUAGGGAGUCUGCUCUUGCCUAUUUCUCAAACGGUUCAGGCCCUGACAGAAUCAGUGUCACCCCUAAGAAUGAAACCUUCCAAGGGGCCAUGAUCAUAUUGUGACUGGACAAGAACUAUCAUGGAUGAGGCACAUCAUCUUUUGGAACCAUCUAUGGAACAGAUAUUAUUAUUCCAUUUUGCGGAAGAGGAAUCUGAGGCUCAGGCCAGACAGAUGCAGCUAACGUUGAGUGGCAUCCUGAUGAUCACCUUCAUCACAAAAGGAAGGAGUGCUCUGAGGACUGUAGGUGGCUCUCAGAACCCUGACCUCCACGGCAGCCAUCAAGGAGUGGCAAAGGGGGUCCACAGUGGCAUAUGCAGUGAGAUCCAAGUUUUAGGCAUUCGGAGUAGAGCAAGCCACGAAUGAGAACAGGUUCUGAAAGUGACAGAAAAGGAGUCACUUUUUUGGUUCCAUAUGAACUUUAAGGUAGUUUUUUCCCAGUUCUGUGAAGAAAGUCAUUGGUAGCUUGAUGGGGAUGGCAUUGAAUCUAUAAAUUACCUUGGACAGUAUGGCCAUUUUCAUGAUAUUGAUUCUUCCUACCCAUGAGCAUGGAAUGUUCUUCCAUUUGUUUGUAUCCUCUUUUAUUUCCUUGAGCAGUGGUUUGUAGUUAUCCUUGAAGAGGUUCUUCACAUCCCUUGUAAGUUGGAUUCCUAGGUAUUUUAUUCUCUUUGAAGCAAUUGUGAAUGGGAGUUCACUCAUGAUUUGGCUCUCUGUUUGUCUGUUGUUAGUGUAUAAGAAUGCUUGUGAUUUUUGUACAUUGAUUUUGUAUCCUGAGACUUUGCUGAAGUUGCUUAUCAGCUUAAGGAGAUUUUGGGCUGAGACAAUGGGGUUUUCUAGAUAUACAAUCAUGUCAUCUGCAAACAGGGACAAUUUGACUUCCUCUUUUCCUAAUUGAAUACCCUUUAUUUCCUUGUCCUGCCUAAUUGCCCUGGCCAGAACUUCCAACACUAUGUUGAAUAGGAGUGGUGAAAGAGGACAUCCCUGUCUUGUGCCAGUUUUCACAGGGAAUGCUUCCAGUUUUUGCCCAUUCAGUAUGAUAUUGGCUGUGGGUUUGUCAUAGAUAGCUCUUAUUAUUUUGACAUACGUCCCAUCAAUACCUAAUUUAUUGAGAGUUUUUAGCAUGAAGCGUUGUUGAAUUUUGUCAAAGGCCUUUUCUGCAUCUAUUGAGAUAAUCAUGUGGUUUUUGUCUUUGGUUCUGUUUAUAUGCUGGAUUACAUUUAUUGAUUUGUGUAUAUUGAACCAGCCUUGCAUCCCAGGGAUGAAGCCCACUUGAUCAUGGUGGAUAAGCUUUUUGAUGUGCUGCUGGAUUCGGUUUGCCAGUAUUUUAUUGAGGAUUUUUGCAUCAAUGUUCAUCAGGGAUAUUGGUCGAAAAUUCUCUUUUUUGGUUGUAUCUCUGCCCGGCUUUGGUAUCAGGAUGAUGCUGGCCUCAUAAAAUGAGUUAGGGAGUAUUCCCUCUUUUUCUAUUGAUUGGAAUAUCACCAAGUCCAUCCUAAGCCAAAAGAACAAAGCUGGAGGCAUCACACUACCUGACUUCAAACUAUACUACAAGGCUACAGUAACCAAAACAGCAUGGUACUGGUACCAAAACAGAGAUAUAGAUCAAUGGAACAGAACAGAGCCCUCAGAAAUAACACCGCAUAUCUACAAUUAUCUGAUCUUUGACAAACCUGACAAAAACAAGCAAUGGGGAAAGGAUUCCCUAUUUAAUAAAUGGUGCUGGGAAAACUGGCUAGCCAUAUGUAGAAAGCUGAAACUGGAUCCCUUCCUUACACCUUAUACAAAAAUCAAUUCAAGAUGGAUUAAAGACUUAAACGUUAGACCUAAAACCAUAAAAACCCUAGAAGAAAACCUAGGCAUUACCAUUCAGGACAUAGGCAUAGGCAAGGACUUCAUGUCUAAAACACCAAAAGCAGUGGCAACAAAAGCCAAAAUUGACAAACGGGAUCUAAUUAAGCUAAAGAGCCUCUGCACAGCAAAAGAAACUACCAUCAGAGUGAACAGGCAACCUACAAAAUGGGAGAAAAUUUUCGCAACCUACUCAUCUGACAAAGGGCUAAUAUCCAGAAUCUACAAUGAACUCAAACAAAUUUACAAGAAAAAAACAAACAACCCCACCAAAAAGUGGGUGAAGGACAUGAACAGACACUUUUCAAAAGAAGACAUUUAUGCAGCCAAAAAACACAUGAAAAAAUGCUCACCAUCACUGGCCAUCAGAGAAAUGCAAAUCAAAACC